AGCGUGUCAACAUAAAAGGAUACUUUGCAUGGGCUCUUGGAGAUAAUUAUGAAUUCGGUAAAGGUUUUACCGUCCGAUUCGGACUCAGUUACGUUAACUGGACAGACGUUAGUGAUAGAAACCUCAAAGAUUCUGGCAAAUGGUAUCAGAGGUUCAUUAACGUUACCACCAAGAUCACUGCACACCAAGAUUUCCUCCGCUCAGGCCUCUCUUUUGAGAACAAGAUGAAGACACUCACAGAUGCAUGAAACACUUUAUCCACAUCAAGAUCGCCUUCAUGUCAUCUCACUCUUUCUAGCUAUCUGCUCCAUAGUAAAUAAAGGAGCUUAGUACUGUAACUAAAUAAAACAUAUUCCCAGUGGAAAAAGUCAAGUAUAUAUUAAUGAAUAAUACUUUUAUGCCAAGUCAAGGGAUUGAGAGAAAAAAAAAAACUCAAUUUAACAGGUAGAUUUACAUCAUCCAACCAACCACACUGCAUAUAUUAAUGAAGUAUCCUAUUGUGAUUUUAAAAAAAUGAAGUAUCCAUAAUAAAAUAUGAUUCUUAUUUAUGUCAACUACAAAUAUCAUUACACUAUAUCUAUUUUUGCAUAUCUAUUUUCGCAACGGAACUCUUAAAAUUUAAAUUGGUUAAUAUCUAUAUUAACCUUAAUGAAUAGUUCUAUACAAUUCAUUAUUAAUUAUAUAAUUAAACAAUAUAAUUUUAACAACUAUGAGACAUUAUCUCGACAACCUCAUACCAAUUAUAAUUUAGUUAUAUAAAAUUUAUACUGUAAAACUCGUGUAUUUGUUAUACUACAAAUUACUAUCUUCGUAGUUUUCAAAAUUAGUAUUUCAACUAAACAACAAUAAUACUUUGGAUAGCUUACUAUAAACGAAAAAGUGCAAUUACGAGCACACAUCACAUUAGGGUCCAACUUCAUUUACAUGUUAUUUGUUUGGUUUUAUAAAAGGUAAUUUUAGUGACGAAUACAUACUGAUUAAUUAAUGUGAAUACUAUUAGGGAUAAUUAUGCUAAUAUAUAUAAUGAAUAGUUAUAUAUAAUAUGUACUAUAAUUAGCAACAAACUUAUAUUUAAAUUUAUUUAGAUAAUUGAAUAUAAAUUAAUAAAAUAGAAAUUUUGGCUAAAAAUGAAUAAGAUAAGUGUUGUUAUCCAAAAAUAAUAUUUUCAAUUACAAAAUUUAAACUAAAAAGUAUAAUGAUGCAUAAUUAAAUACUAAUCAAACAAAAUGAAUAUAUUGUAUAAAUAGAUUUUCCAAAAUGUUUAUAAUACAUAAGUAGUUCCAAAAAAUGAAUGAAAGCAAUAACAAGCAUAUAUGUAUAUUUUGAUUUAAACUCUGAUUUAUAUAUUAUCGAUUUAAAUACUGUUAUUUGCGAAAUGAUUUUUCGUAACGGAGCACCCAAUUAGUUAAUAGUUAGAGUGGUUAAUAUCCAUAUUACCCUUAAUAAAUAGUUAUAUAUAAUUCAUUACUAAUUAUAUAACUAAACAAUAUAAUUUUAAUAACUAAAUGAGUCAUUUUCUCGACAAUCUCAUAUCUCAUACUAUUCAAUUAUAAUAUAAUUAUAUAAAAUUUGUAUUGUAAAACUCGUGUAUUUUUUAUACUAUAAAUUACAAGAAAUUCUUGGGUUCACCCCCUAAGGUGAACCUCUAGGUUCACCAACCAAUAGUGUUUGAGUAUUUGAUAUUUGAUAUCUUUUAAAAAAAGAAAUAAAAUUGAAUAUCCAAAUUAGAUUAUAUUUUUAAAAUAAAAUAAUAAAAAUACAUAAAAAUAGUUACAAAAAAUAAAUUAAUUAAUAUUGUUAACCAGUGGAAAAAGUCAAGUAUAUAUUAAUGAAUAAUACUUUUAUGCCAAGUCAAGGGAUUGAGAGAAAAAAAAAAACUCAAUUUAACAGGUAGAUUUACAUCAUCCAACCAACCACACUGCAUAUAUUAAUGAAGUAUCCUAUUGUGAUUUUAAAAAAAUGAAGUAUCCAUAAUAAAAUAUGAUUCUUAUUUAUGUCAACUACAAAUAUCAUUACACUAUAUCUAUUUUUGCAUAUCUAUUUUCGCAACGGAACUCUUAAAAUUUAAAUUGGUUAAUAUCUAUAUUAACCUUAAUGAAUAGUUCUAUACAAUUCAUUAUUAAUUAUAUAAUUAAACAAUAUAAUUUUAACAACUAUGAGACAUUAUCUCGACAACCUCAUACCAAUUAUAAUUUAGUUAUAUAAAAUUUAUACUGUAAAACUCGUGUAUUUGUUAUACUACAAAUUACUUCUACGUGUGGAUUAAUGACAUGCAAUUGUAUAUGUAAACUGCAGAAAGAUAUAGACAUUAUGGACGAAAUGAAUGCUACUGGCUACAGAUUCUCCUUUGCGUGGUCAAGAAUCAUUCCAAGUACGUACACAUUAUCGAUCUGUGUAUACAAGUAGUGGUAUAUUGAUUUUGAUUGUUUGAAAAAUUAAGUAUACGAUAUGUACAUAUGCAUGAGCAGAAGGAAAGGUGAGUAGGGGAGUGAACAAAGGAGGUCUUGAAUACUACCACAGACUCAUAGAUGGCCUCAUCGCGAAGAAUAUCACCCCUUUCGUUACCCUCUACCAUUGGGACCUUCCUCAAACACUGCAAGAUGAGUAUGACGGUUUCUUGAACCGCCAAGUCAUGUAUGUUAUUAGUUCAUAACAUGCAUCUUAGGAGUAAAAAUGGAAGAGAGAAAAUAUAUAGAUUAUAUCUCACAUUAAUGAAAGGAUUCUAAACUAUGCGCAGAGAGGAUUUUAGAGAUUUUGCGGAUCUAUGUUUCAAGGAAUUUGGUGGAAAGGUGAAGAACUGGCUCACUAUCAACCAGCUGUACUCAGUGCCUACGAGAGGCUAUUCAACCGGAGCAGAUGCACCCGGUCGAUGUUCUCCAAAGGUCGAUGCAAGAUGUUACGGCGGAAAUUCUUCAACGGAACCUUAUAUAGUUGCACAUAACCAGCUUCUUGCUCAUGCCGCUGUGGUCAAUCUUUAUAGAACAAAAUAUAGGGCGAGUACUUGUCCAUUUGUAAAUAUGUGUAAUAAUCUGACAUAUCCAAUCCAUAUUUAACAAAUCAUUGUGACCAGCAGUUCCAAAGAGGGAGGAUCGGACCGGUGAUGAUAACUAGAUGGUUUCUUCCAUUUGAUGAGACUAAUAAAGCCAGCAUAGAUGCAGCUGAGAGGAUGAAAGAAUUCUUCUUAGGAUGGUACGAAUAUAUAUAUAUAUAUCCACGAAAAAAACAAAUCAAUAUUUUAAAAUUAUAAAUAUAUGUUGUAUAUAUAAACUACUUAAUGAAUAUAAAUUUGAUAUCGAUCAGGUAUAUGGAGCCGCUAACAAGAGGUAGAUACCCAGACAUCAUGAGGCGAAUGGUAGGUAAUCGGCUUCCCAACUUCACUGAAGCAGAAGCCAGACUUGUUGCGGGUUCAUAUGAUUUUCUUGGUCUCAACUAUUACGCCACUCAGUUCGUACAGCCAACUCCUAACCCACUCCCCGUUACAUCGGAAAGAUACACUGCCAUGAUGGACCCAGGGACAAGACUCACAUGUACCACUCUAUUUCACUUAGUUACAACAUAUAUAUAUAUAUAUGCAUGUGUCCUUUUGAUUACUACAUAUUUUGUGACCGUCAAUAUUGCAUGCUUGUGUGUUGCAGUUGUAAAUUCACGUGGUGAAAAAACUGGUCCACUGGUAUAUAUGCACGAUCUACCCACCCAUAAUUCUAUUGUUUCAUUCAUUUUUCUCUUCUUUCUUAUGAUUGAUAUACACAUGCUGCUUCCCUUUCUGAUCAGUUUGAAGAGUUAAAAGGGGGAAAUAGUUAUUACUACCCAAAAGGCAUUUAUUACGUUAUGGACUACUUCAAAACCAAAUACCGUAACCCAUUAAUCUAUAUCACCGAGAACGGUGAGUUCUGUUACCCGUCUUCUUUCAUGUUUAAUUGUUUGGUAGAAGAAAUUGACUCAGCUAUUGUAAAAUUGUUCACAUACUACGCACCACGGUUCAAUUAGGAUUCAGUACCUCUGGUGAUCAAACCCGCCAGGAAGCUGUUGCCGAUUCCAAGCGGAUUGAUUAUCUCUGCAGUCAUCUCUGUUUUCUCCGUAAGGUCAUCAUGUGAGUAGUGGCUGCAACGACACAUUAUUUAAUAAAUAUUAGAUCAUCAUAGGUUUUUAAUGGUUAUUUUUGUUUUCAGGGAGAAGCGUGUCAACAUAAAAGGAUACUUUGCAUGGGCUCUUGGAGAUAAUUAUGAAUUCGGUAAAGGUUUUACCGUCCGAUUCGGACUCAGUUACGUUAACUGGACAGACGUUAGUGAUAGAAACCUCAAAGAUUCUGGCAAAUGGUAUCAGAGGUUCAUUAACGUUACCACCAAGAUCACUGCACACCAAGAUUUCCUCCGCUCAGGCCUCUCUUUUGAGAACAAGAUGAAGACACUCACAGAUGCAUGAAACACUUUAUCCACAUCAAGAUCGCCUUCAUGUCAUCUCACUCUUUCUAGCUAUCUGCUCCAUAGU
rnacentral:lncRNA from 1 species